GACGAACCGUGCAAACGUUAUUCGGAAUCACUGGGCAUAAAGGGCGCGUAGGCGGCUUUCUAAGUCAGGGGUGAAAUCCGGCAGCUCAACUGUCGCAGUGCCUUUGAUACUGGAGAGCUCGAGGGAGGUAGGGGUCUGUGGAACUUCCGGUGGAGCGGUGAAAUGCGUUGAUAUCGGAAGGAACACCGGUGGCGAAAGCGGCGCGCUGGAUCUCUUCUGACGCUGAGGCGCGAAAGCCAGGGGAGCGAACGGG
rnacentral:rRNA from 1 species